GACAUCCUGGAUGGUAGUGACAAAUUGAUUUAGAAGGUUUAACAUAAUUUCACAUCAACUGCGAUAUUCCAUGCAAAAUGAAGGAAACACAACUUGAAUUCUGGUGAAAUUAUACAUAAAAGUAUAUUUAGGUAUCAGACUCAGGUCUCACUCACAGCCACGCUUCCUUCCCUUAUGAAUGUGCCAAAUCUGUGGGCAUGACUGUGCUGCCCUUAACUACUAAAGCACACUCUCUUCCACAGCUGUGAAGAUAACCCAGAUAUUCUGGUAACUUUCUACUAUCUAGCAUACAGUACUUAAUAGUUGUGUAAGCCAUUUGCAAAGCAUGUGCAGUGCACCCUUCUCACAAUUAGUCCAUACGGAGGAUAACAGCCUACCACUGUUAUUAGUUACUUCUUUAGCUCAAAAGGUAAAGUUUUGUGCUGUGGAUCUAAAACUCCUCUGUUGAAAUCCUUUUGAUGACCUAUGUGUGAGGUCAAUGUCAUUCCAGAUAAUAAAAAUUUAGUCUAUUUUAAUGUUUCUGAUAAAAUAUUAAAAUUACAUUCAAAACCCACUACAUUAAAAGUACAUUAAGGUUUCAGAGUCCAUCACUUAAAUGGAAAUGCCAGAAAUUAGGUUAUCCUGUAAUUAUGAAAAAAUGUUUAUUAUUUGAUCACAUAUUCUUUGUUCUAUGGGACUCCAGACUCUUUCAAUGCAUAUGCUAGACAGUAAAUGAGGCAGAGUGUUGCAAAAAGAGAAAGGACUUUCUCCUGUGUUCAAAGCAUGUAACUGGAAGGCAGAAGUGGGGGAUUUUGGCUCUGCUACAGACCUCUUAUAUGAUGAUAGACUCAUAAUACAUAUGCCCAAGUGGGAUAAAUUAAGAUUGCAUGAGCAACUUUAAUUCUGGCAUUGCCCAAUUUUUGAGUGCUAGACUUUGCAACCUUAACAUUUAUUUAAUGUAGUGUUUUAUAUGUAAUUGUAAUUGUUGUAUAUAAUAGAAAUUCAUAAAUGCAUUGCAUUUACUAUUCAGUGAAAUUUUAUUGCAUAAUCAUUUAAAUGAGAAAUACUUAUAUUGCAGCAUCCACCCAAACUCUGAAACAUCAGAAGGUCCUUCAUUACAAUUACUGUUACAUACACUUUUGCAGAGUCCAGGGAAAACUAUACAUGUAGGAUCCAGAGCAGUGAAUGGGUGUCAUGUGCCCAGACUAAUCAGACUAAGUUCAGCUGUCCACCAGCAGAACAAAUGACUACACAAGAGCAUUAUUAAAUGUACUUAGUAGACAAAUUAAAUGGAAAAAUUAAGAUUUUCUCUAAUCCCACACAGUUUUACACCUCUUAUGGGCUACUUGUUACAACAUUAAAUAAAAAAAAAUUGGACAGAAAUGUGAUCAAGUUGAAAGUGUCCAGUUAAACAAAGAGUGCAAACCAGCCAUCUCUCACACAUUUCAGGAGAUACGAGAAGUGUAUAUAUACAGUCUAAUACUUUACAUUUUCACAGGUCAAGACCCUAGUCCAUACAAUGGAUAGGUUCCCCUUUAGGUGCUUCCAUUGGAUAUGAUGGCAGUGAGCUGAUCAGACAUCUAGCAAAUAGGAAAGCUGGGUCUAUGGUAAACGGCACACUAUGGCUUUUUUUGUUUAAUGAUACACUCCAGUUUAAGAGACUGUAUGCUUAAAUAAUAACAUUUUGUUAAAAUGACACAAGUCCCUGAAUUUUCUUUCUUGCAUUCCGUGUUGAAUUGCAGUGAAUUCUGCUGCCCUGAGACUCAUUAUCAGAUGUAAUCCAUGCUUGAAGAGGAAUAUCCUACUUCACAGGAUUAAUAAUGCUGCUGCAAAAAAGGGAGUGAGAGAAGGUUACUAGAUGAUGGAGAAGAAAGGAGAUGCAUGUGACAUCCCUCAGCUGA